rnacentral:lncRNA from 1 species
GUUUGAUGUUUCUCUAAGUAUCAUUGUGUAAGAGACGAGUCCAAGGAACGCGACUCAGAUACUAAUUGUAAUGGCCCCAGAAAUUCAAAAGGAAAUACAUAUAAUGAUCUGAGGGCGGAAGCGAAAUAAAAGAUUAAGAUUAAUAUCCCUUACACAAUAACUCAAAAAUCAGACCCAGGGCCUACUCGGCCAAUUUUGAAAUUCUGACAAGACGGCUUCGCUGUGCUCCGGCGACGCGGCGGCGAUCCGCCUCGUGUUGGCUGUUUUCGGCCGAAUUCAGCCAAACUUGCAUCGGUUCCUGUGAGAAAAGACACUUAGCCCUCAGUGGGCCUAAAAAAAUACAAAAAAUCGAAACUUACUGGCGGUGGGGCUCUAUAGUGCGGCGACUCCUCCGGCUCACGUCGCGGUUGGGUGUU